UACUUGGUUGAUCCUGCCAAGGAAGCACACUUAGGUCAUAGAUUAAGCCAUGCAAGUGUUAGUUCAGGUAACGAAACUGCGAAUAGCUCAUUAAUACGCUCAGAAUCUAUUUGGCGGCGACCAACAGGUCUUAAAUGGAUAGCAGCAGCAACUCUGGUGCUAAUACAUGCGAUUGUUUCUCCAGAUGUGAAUUAUGGAGGAAAAGUUGACCUCAUCAGAGGCACGCCAUUCGACUGAGUGACCUAUCAGCUUGUACUUAGGGUCUUUACCUAGGUAGGCUAUCACGGGUAACGGGCGGUUACCGUCGGACUGCCGGAGAAGGCGCCUGAGAGAUAGCGACUAUAUCCACGGGUAGCAGCAGGCGCGAAACUUUCCCACUCGAGACUUCGGAGGAGGUA
rnacentral:ncRNA from 1 species